CAGGAAUUCUCCCCUUGUUGGUCUGUCUCCUGGGCCCCAUCGAGACAGCUGGACUUCCCACACAAGUGAAAAUAUUCAAGUGCCCGUUCCCAGGUUGGCACGACAUGGUAUUUACUCAGUCAGGUCUUUGAAAUUCACUGCAGAGAUAUGAGUCUCCUGCAUGAUCCUGCCACCAGCUUUUGUGAAGAUGAAUGAACCAAUUCCUUAUACUGAAGGAGAGAAAUUUUCACUGGAUUUGAGGAGCCAUAAGCCUUAACCAGCUUCAGAAGUCCUCUGGCACAGACGAUGCCAUCAUGAAGGCAGGAAGAGUUCCUCCUAUCUCUGCAGAAGACCUGGCCACAGCAAAUGAGAUUGAUCGUGGGUUUCAAGGAUUGGAGGGGUAGGAGAAAGAUUUAGAGAAGAGGAAAGAGUAAUUUUUCCCUGGAGAUGUAGGACAAUGGUGUUCUUUGCUGAGAAAGAUGAGAAAGCAAUUUCCCCAAAGGUUCAGAAAACAGGGUUGUUUCACUCAUUGUUGGGUAUUCAGUAUAGACCUGUGAGUGCUGGAAAAAUAAGCUAGGUGACCCC